GCUUUCGAGAUUACAAUAAAGUUUUAUUCUAGCUAGGGAAUUCUCUGUUGGAUUGGUUCACAUGUAAGGAGUAACCGUGUUUUUGAGGGAUUGCCUUGAUGGUGCCUGAUUGGUCUUGGAGAUUCGCAGUGUUUUGUAUUGGUUGUCAAGAAACUUUGGAACCGGUAAUUUGAAUAGCUCCGGCAAAACUCGUGCCAGCCGCCGCGGUUACACGAAGGGGGUAAGAGUAUUCUAUUGGUUUGUAAUUAACUUUGAGUCGGUGGCUAGAAAUACUGCUUCGUUGGGUGAAAUUUUGAAGCUUAGGGUUAGCCAAAGAGAGGGUUAAGUGAAGUUAUGAAAUCUGGGCAGGAGACUAGGAUUAGAUACCCUAUUAUUCCAGAUGUUAAGUCGAAACCUGAGUAGUACUAGUUAUGUUCUUGAAACUCAAAGAAUUUGGCGGUGGUUUAGUCCAUUCAGAGGAACCUGUCCCGUAAUCGAUACCCCACGUUGAACUUUACUUAGGCUUAUUUAGCUUGUAUACCGCCGUCGAAAGAGGAAUUCGAAAGAAUCCCCUCCAAUCCCUGUAGUAAGGUAGAUGUCAGGUCAAGGUGCAGUCGAUGCCUAAGGGGAGAUGGGUUACAAUAAGGAUACUUAAACGGAAUUUAAGGUGAAAGUUGAAAGGAAGGUGGAUUUGAAUGUAAUUGGGUUUGAUGUUGAACCCCUGAAAUAGGCUCUAAACCAAGCACACAUCGCCCGUCGCUCUCGUUAUUUAAGGCGAGAUAAGUCGUAACAAAGUAGGUGUACCGGAAGGUGCUUCUAGAAUGAGA
rnacentral:ncRNA from 1 species